GCCUGCGUGCAGGGUGGCUCUGCUGUGAACAGGAACCCGGAGGUGCCCCAGCACGGUGGCUCUCAGCAGUGGCUUCCGUGGUGCUCAGUGGUGUGCUGGCCCACAAAAUCCAAAUAGCGCCUUCACAGUGUAAGAAGUGCUUCUGAUGCUGGCGUAGGGGCAUGACGCCAGAUUCCUUAGAAAAUGGAAUGAUCUUGAGCGGGUGUGUCUCAGAGGCCUGAGCGCUUCACUCUGGGCAUCCAAAGCCAGGAGUUGGCUCCAGCUAGAGUCCAGACAGCAGCAGAGGUGAAGUUCCCUGUCACACAGUCACAGGCUAGAACUCAGUCACAUCCACGCCUGACUGCGAGCGGGACUGGAAAGUGCCCCGAGGAAACUCCAGGACUCCAACGCCAAGUAAAGGGAGCGUAGAUAUUAGACAGGUAAAGGAGAUGAGCAGCGUUGCUCUGGUACGCAGAGAAGCUUCCAGACACUCCUGGGUUGCACGAUAGAUUAAGUAAUUCUACUGAUGGGCACCAGCUCCAUGCCAGGACCCAGGGCUCCAAAGCCAUUUCCAGGAUAAAUGCAGGCUCUGAGAGCGAGUGCCACGGAUGACUCCUCCAUGGCCGCACUUUCUUCACAUUGGCUCCUGUGAGCUUCCUCAACGCUUUCGAAGCUGGCCCCGCUUCUGUCCACUCUGCAGAGUGAACGUUGAGGCCUGCGAGGUCCCUGCCAUGCCUGUCUCCUCCUCCCAGCAGUAGUGUGAGCUCUGCUCCGGGAUCAAGGCCAGAUCUUUGCAGCCCAUGUGCUUGGCUCCCUCAGCUGAGCCUCAGGACGUGGGUCCUCAGUUUGUGCUGUGCAGCGUGAGGGGCCACACUGCAGUCAAGCCAGCUGGGUGCAAACAGCAGCUUUUCUUCUACUUGGUGGCCCUCCUUGGGAAGGUCCCUCUGCUCCUGUAACUUCAUUUCCUCAUUGAUAACAAAGAAAAAAACAGAUCAUAUUGCCUGUUGUAAGGAU
rnacentral:lncRNA from 10 species